rnacentral:tRNA from 1 species
UGGCUCAGAGGGUAAAGCAUCUGCCCGCAAUGCAGGAGACCCAGGUUUGAUCCCUGG